AAGGGGUCCCUAUUUAUAGAAAAUGGAGCUCGUUAGAUUUUCGCCAAGUGGCAAAAUCUAAUGAGGAAAGAUAAAGUUGAGUGAAAGAUGAGUGAUUUGACGCGACCCAAUGACGGUGCGAAAAAUGAAAGAAUAAUCCUAAAAUGACAGCCGCUCUCCACCUAAGGUGAUGACAGUACGUCGCCCAAGGUAGUGCACGGUGCUAAGAGGUGGUGGUACACUAUCCAAAGCAACAGUGCUCCUCCCCAGGCCAGCCGUGCACUGCAGGCCUUGCCUGCAAGUGCUGGCCUAUCUUGCCACGUGUAGUGGCUAGUGUGCGUGCGUGUAGGGCCUACAGUGCCCAGGGCACUGCCUAUCAGCCGACUGUGUGUAGGCCCAUGCACGCAGGCCUAUUGCGUGGGCAGUGCAUGCACAGGGCCCACAACACUUGGCCCUGUCCACGUGAGAUGUGAUGCUCGCUGACACUCUUGUCUGCACGUGAUGGGACACGCACACAAACUGCCCUUGCACCCCCGCGGAUGGGACGUGCGCAUAGUGAGAACGUCCUACGCUGGCCGUGUGCGCACGCACUCGCAC
rnacentral:lncRNA from 1 species